rnacentral:rRNA from 1 species
UUACUUCGGUACAUCGGUGACAGGUGGUGCAUGGUUGUCGUCAGCUCGUGUCGUGAGAUGUUGGGUUAAGUCCCGCAACGAGCGCAACCCCUAUUGUUAGUUGCCAUCAUUCAGUUGGGCACUCUAGCGAGACUGCCGGUAAUAAACCGGAGGAAGGUGGGGAUGACGUCAAAUCAUCAUGCCCCUUAUGACCUGGGCUACACACGUGCUACAAUGGUUGGUACAACGAGUUGCGAGUCGGUGACGGCGAGCUAAUCUCUUAAAGCCAAUCUCAGUUCGGAUUGUAGGCUGCAACUCGCCUACAUGAAGUCGGAAUCGCUAGUAAUCGCGGAUCAGCACGCCCGCGGUCCGAAUACGUUCCGGCCUU